AGCCUCAUCCUAGAUGAGAACGGGCAUUGUUGUUUGUGGUGUCCACAGAUUGUCAGUGUGGCUACAUUGAGGCACAGGUUAUGCUCCCAUCACAAGUGUAUUGCAGGGGUGACGGUGAGACCUGCACCAUUU
ensembl:snoRNA